rnacentral:rRNA from 1 species
CAGUCGCCGCGGGAAUACGUAGGGUGCGAGCGUUAAUCGGAAUUACUGGGCGUAAAGCGUGCGCAGGCGGUUGUGUAAGACAGGUGUGAAAUCCCCGGGCUUAACCUGGGAACUGCGCUUGUGACUGCACAGCUAGAGUAUGGCAGAGGGGGGUGGAAUUCCACGUGUAGCAGUGAAAUGCGUAGAGAUGUGGAGGAACACCGAUGGCGAAGGCAGCCCCCUGGGCCAAUACUGACGCUCAUGCACGAAAGCGUGGGGAGCAAACAGGAUUAGAUACCCGAGUAGUCCCUGUCUCUUAUAC